AAUCUUCACAAUGUGCGAAAGCACGAUGAGGGGAUCCCAAGUGCUGGCACGUAAGUGUCAGCUGUUUCUUAGUCUAAAAAACUGAGAGAGUAAGGGCUGGGUAAGACGGGUGCCAGCCGCCGCGGUAAUACCUGCAGCUCAAGUGGUGGCCGCUAUUAUUGGGCCUAAAACGUCCGUAGCCUGUUUAGUAAAUGCUUGGGUAAAUUGUGUAGCUUAACUAUACGAAUACCGGGUAGACUGCUAAACUUGGGACCGGGAGAGGCUAGAGGUACUCCUGGGGUAGAGGUGAAAUUCUGUAAUCCUAGGGGGACCACCAGUGGCGAAGGCGUCUAGCUAGAACGGGUCUGACGGUGAGGGACGAAGCCCUGGGGCGCAAACCGGAUUAGAUACCCGGGUAGUCCAGGGUGUAAACGCUGCUUGCUUGAUGUUAGUUGGGCUCCGAGCCCAACUAGUGUCGGAGAGAAGUUGUUAAGCAAGCUGCCUGGAAGUACGUCGCAAGAC
rnacentral:rRNA from 1 species